UACUUUGGGAGUGGCAGUCUUAGUGUGAGAGUCGCAAACUAUGAGAGUUGCAGACUGCAAGAGUGCCAGUUUCAGUGAGAGUCACAGACUGUGAUAGUGCCAGUCUCAGUAUAAGUCACAGACUGUGAGAGUGCCAGUCUCAGUGAGAGUAGCAGACUGUGAGAGUGCCAAUCUCAGUGUUAGAAUCACAGGUUGUUACAGUGCCAGUCUCAGUGUGAGAGACACAUACUGAGAGAGUGCCAGUCUCAGUGUGAUAGUUGCAGAUUGUGACUGUGCCAGUCUCAGUGUGUCCCUGACUGUGGG